rnacentral:lncRNA from 1 species
UUUCCCCCGCACCCCUCUCUCGCGCGCUCUCCCUUCCCCUCGCCGGCCGCGCUCUCUCUCUCGCCCGCGCCCCCAAUUUCCGGCCAAACCGCCGCCGCCGCCGCCCAAACUCCGGCGAGCAAUUGCCGGAGUUGCGCAGCCCCGUUCGCCGAGCCGCCACCGUCUACGUGAUCCCCGCGACGCCGUGAAUUUUCCCCAAUCCUUCUUCUUCCUUCCCGCGCUUCGAUUCUUCGUUUCCGUUCAUCUCCGGAAGAUUUGGGUAUGAACUUGUUCAAGUUCACUGCAGCUUUUGUUCUUCGGUUAGCUCGGUUUAGGCAUCGUUUGCUACCAAACCAAUGAUCAUUAUGUGCUCUAGAUUUCACCAUUGAGUAGAGUGAAUGUUCCUCUACAAUUUCUCUGUAGACAUUAGCCGUAGAUGGUUCAUCUCGUGCUUUGCAUCGUCGUCGCAAAAUGGUAUUCUAAUCAGUUUCUCUGCCGUAUCUCUGCCGCGGCAGAAAGUUGCAGCAUCAUUCUUAUGGGGUAGCCUUAUUCGCAGUAGUUCUCGUUGUUGUCCAUAGCAUCAUUUUAGUUGUUUCUUUUUGUAGAUUGAACUUUAGUAACACCCCUUCACAUCCAUUUUCUAGUUAGACCAUUUCAACUUCACCUUCACUAGCAGCACGACGGUAGUUCAUAUCCUAUUAUGUUCUGUUUUAGAGUAGCCACAUUCACCUGUUCAUAGCUACUGCCUCAUAUCUCCAUAGUUAGUGAAACCAGUGCCAUUUGAAAGAGUAGAUCAUAUUAUUGAAUUUAUUUGUUUAUUUCUCUGUCAUUGGAAUAGUUUAGCACCAGUACAUUUUCAGUAGAAGUUAGUAUUCUUUGUCUGUCAGAAUCUGACUAGCCACCUUUGCAAGCCAGUAACUUCUAAUCUAUUUAUCCAAUUAACCUGAAACCUGUUGCGUUAGUUAGUACAACCUUAGAACUAUACUGUAGCAUAGGUUUCAUGUCAUGUUCUGUACUUUAGAACCUAUUACUUGUCAAUCCUAUUUGCUAUCUGUUAACAGUAGCAUAUUUCUGAAUUUUCAGACUUAGCCACACUAGCCUUAACCUUAGGCUUUAGAACUUGAAUUGUUAAUACUAUGGUAUUACUUAGAUGACGGUAUUACUUAGAUGACGUUUAGGUUCUGUUUUGUAUGCUUGUGAUACAUCCUUUAUCCGAAGUUCAUUUGGAGUUAUAUUUGGAUUUUGAGAGAUGUUUGAAACUAUGCAUUUAUUGUCGUUUCGUUCUACGCGUUAGAUUAUUCGGAUUGCGAUUGCGAAGAGUGCCAGGGAGUUGACGAC